UGUACUGUGCCAGCAGGGAAGAAAUGGG
rnacentral:piRNA from 1 species